rnacentral:rRNA from 1 species
GGCUCAGGAUGACGGCNGGCGGCGUGCCUAAUACAUGUAAGUCGAACGGGCAGUUUUCGGGGUAACCUGGGAACUGCUAGUGGCGAACGGGUGAGUAACGCGUGGGCGACCUGCCCCGAAGCGAGGGAUAACAGUUCGAAAGGACUGCUAAUACCCCAUGUGCUCCGAGAGAUUAGAUGCUUUUGGAGUAAAGGAGCAAUCCACUUUGGGAGGGGCCUGCGACCCAUCAGCUAGUUGGUAAGGUAACGGCCUACCAAGGCGACGACGGGUAGGGGGCCUGAGAGGGUGAUCCCCCACACUGGCACUGAAACACGGGCCAGACACCUACGGGUGGCAGCAGUAGGGAAUCAUGUGCAAUGGGCGCAAGCCUGACACUGCAACGCCGCGUGCCCGAGGAAGGCCUUCGGGUCGUAAAGGGCUUUUCUGGAGGAAGAGCAAGGACGGUACUCCAGGAAUAAGGAUCGGCUAACUACGUGCCAGCAGCCGCGGUAACACGUAGGAUCCGAGCGUUAUCCGAAUUUACUGGGCGUAAAGCGCGUGCAGGCGGCUGGGUAAGUUGGGCGUGAAAUCUCCCGGCUCAACUGGGAGAGGUCGUCCAAAACUACCUGGCUAGAGGGCGGUAGAGGGAGGUGGAAUUCCCGGUGUAGUGGUGAAAUGCGUAGAUAUCGGGAGGAACACCAGUGGCGAAAGCGGCCUCCUGGACCGUACCUGACGCUCAGACGCGAAAGCUAGGGGAGCGAACGGGAUUAGAUACCCCGGUAGUCCUAGCUGUAAACGAUGUGAACUAGGCGUGGGUGGGGUAAAAGCCAUCCGUGCCGCAGCCAACGCGCUAAGUUCACCGCCUGGGGACUACGGCCGCAAGGGUAAAACUC